rnacentral:rRNA from 1 species
CGCGCUUGCCUCGGCAAGGGCGUGUAUAAAUUGGUGAAUCUGAAUAACUGGACAGAUCGCAUGGUCUCGAACCGGCGACGUAUCUUUGAAGUGUCUGACUUAUCAACUUUCGAUGGUAGCAUACGCGACUACCAUGGUGAUCACGGGUAACGGAGAAUGAGGGUUCGACUCCGGAGAGGGAGCCUGAGAAACGGCUACCACUUCCAAGGAAGGCAGCAGGCACGCAAAUUACCCACUCCCGGCACGGGGAGGUAGUGACGAAAAUUAACGGGGCGGUUCUCAAUCGAGAAACGUUAUCGGAAUGAGUUCGCUUUACACACGCUACCGAGUAGCAAUUGGAGGGCAAGUCUGGUGCCAGCAGCCGCGGUAAUUCCAGCUCCAAUAGCGUAUAUUAAAGUUGCUGCGGUUAAAACGUUCGUAGUUGAAUUUCGAUUGGCGACGUGAGUCCCCCUAAACAGGAGUGGCACUGACGCUCGCGAUCAGUGGAUACGAUUGCCCCUGGUCACCUUGGUUGGUGGUCUUGGGUGUCGUAGAUUUUACCUUGAGAAAAUUAGAGUGCUCAAGGCAGGUUUUAGAGCCUGAAUAGUGGUGCAUGGAAUAAUGAAAGAGGAUCUCAGUUCCAGUUUGUUGGUUUAGGAAGGAGAGAUAAUGAUUGACAGGGACAGACGGGGGCAUUGGUAUUGCUGCGUUAGAGGUGAAAUUCUUGGAUCGCAGCAAGACGAACAAUUGCGAAAG